rnacentral:rRNA from 1 species
AGCGAACGCUGGCGGCAGGCCUAACACAUGCGAGUCGAACGAACUCUUCGGAGUUAGUGGCGGACGGGUGAGUAACACGUGGGAACGUGCCUUUUGGUUCGGAAUAACUCAGGGAAACUUGUGCUAAUACCGAAUGUGCCCUUCGGGGGAAAGAUUUAACGCCAUUGGAGCGGCCCGCGUCUGAUUAGCUAGUUGGUGAGGUAACGGCUCACCAAGGCGACGAUCAGUAGCUGGUCUGAGAGGAUGACCAGCCACACUGGGACUGAGACACGGCCCAGACUCCUACGGGAGGCAGCAGUGGGGAAUCUUGCGCAAUGGGCGAAAGCCUGACGCAGCCAUGCCGCGUGAAUGAUGAAGGUCGUAGGAUUGUAAAAUUCUUUCACCGGGGACGAUAAUGACGGUACCCGGAGAAGAAGCCCCGGCUAACUUCGUG